UCUCUCUCUCUCUCUCUCUGUCUCUCUCUGUCUCUUUCUGUCUCUCUCCGUUUGUCUCCGUCUGUCUCUGUCUCUCUCCGUCUGUCUCUGUCUCUCUCUAAGCAUCUUUUCAUCUUACCCACAGUGCACUGGGCCUGCAACUGUAUCCUCAGUGAGCGUGUGCAGGCCUUCCUGUUACCCUCUAUCACCACUGCCAUUAAAACAAGUGAGUGUUCAUGUUAUGGGACACAGGCCUCCUGAAGGUAUCACACACUACUGAAGUGCACUGGGCCUGCAACUGUAUCCUCAGUGAGCGUGUGCAGGCCUUCCUGUUACCCUCUAUCACCACUGCCAUGAAAACAAGUGAGUGUUCAUGUUAUGGGACACAGGCCUCCUGAAGGUAUCACAGACUACUGAAGUGCACUGGGCCUGCAACUGUAUCCUCAGUGAGCGUGUGCAGGCCUUCCUGUUACCCUCUAUCACCACUGCCAUGAAAACAAGUGAGUGUUCAUGUUAUGGGACACAGGCCUCCUGAAGGUAUCACAGACUACUGAAGUGCACUGGGCCUGCAACUGUAUCCUCAGUGAGCGUGUGCAGGCCUUCCUGUUACCCUCUAUCACCACUGCCAUGAAAACAAGUGAGUGUUCAUGUUCUGGGACACAGGCCUCCUGAAGGUAUCACAGACUACUGAAGUGCACUGGGCCUGCAACUGUAUCCUCAGUGAGCGUGUGCAGGCCUUCCUGUUACCCUCUAUCACCACUGCCAAGUCUGAAUAUCUACACAUAUCAAUGUAAAUGUUUAGUCUGAAUAUCUACACAUAUCAAUGUAAAUGUUUAGUCUGAAUAUCUACACAUAUCAAUAUAAACAUCAGCAUGUAAACUAGGACCUAUAGUUGUAUUGGAUGUGUU